UACGUAGGGUGCAAGCGUUGUCCGGAAUUAUUGGGCGUAAAGAGCUCGUAGGCGGUCUGUCGCGUCGGAUGUGAAAAUCCAGGGCUCAACCCUGGACCUGCAUUCGAUACGGGCAGACUAGAGUUCGGCAGGGGAGACUGGAAUUCCUGGUGUAGCGGUGAAAUGCGCAGAUAUCAGGAGGAACACCGGUGGCGAAGGCGGGUCACUGGCCCGAUACUGACGCUGAGGCACGAAAGCGUGGGGAGCAAACAGG
rnacentral:rRNA from 1 species